rnacentral:tRNA from 1 species
GACGGGAUUGAGCAGCUAGAUAUCUUAUUGGGCACAUAACCCGAAAGUCACUGGUUCAAAUUCUGUUCCCGCA